CGCCGGGCCGCACGGGAGCCGGCCACGCUAGUGGCAGCGCAGAACCCUAGCCGCACGCGGACUGCGGGACGGAACACGUUUGCGGACGGAACACGUUUGCGGACGGACCAGGAGAACCUUGAAGAAAAGGUGAGGUGAAGCUUUGACAGAGGCUGUAGAUGUCGCCUGCUUGACACUGCACUGCCACCGGUCCCCAUGAAGUUAGAGCUGCAGCUUAGGGCAGAGAAUAGGCCGGAAGACAGUUUCAACAUUUUCCAUCAGAACAAGGUCAUAGCGGCACAGUUGUGGCCUGGGAAGACAAGACAAAAUAGCAUCAUCCACGAGACAGCAGAAACAUCAUGUGCUACUCAGGCAAACUGCAUUAUAUCCUUAGGCUCCAGGGUUAUGUAGCAAUUAUUUCGAAUGCUAUGGUAAGGAAAAAGCCAGCAACAAGUGAGUAGGAUGUCAAUUGUUGUUACCGUGCAACUUCCACUAGGCCUAAGAGCAAUACUAGAAAGAUUCAAAAGAAAUAGCCAAAAACAUUAACGGUGGUUACCUCUGAAUACAUUACAAGUGAUAUUUUUCCGUAUCAGUUUCUAUACUUCCCAAAUUUGUAUAAAGUGACCAUGUGUUCCUUUGAAAAUCAGGACAAAAACUAUUAAAUAGUCCCAGUUA